UGGGGAAUAUUGCACAAUGGGCGGAAGCCUGAUGCAGCAACGCCGCGUGCGGGAUGACGGCCUUCGGGUUGUAAACCGCUUUCGCCUGUGACGAAGCGUGAGUGANGGUAAUGGGUAAAGAAGCACCGGCUAACUACGUGCCAGCAGCCGCGGUGAUANGUANGGGGCCAAGGUUGGNCCGGAUUUUUUGGGCGUAAGGGCUCGUAGGUGGAUGAUCGCCUCGNAAGUGUAAUCUUGCUUGUUACUCCUGACCGAGCGUGCUUUCGAUACGGGUUGACUUGAGGAAGGUAGGGGAGAAUGGAAUUCCUGGUGGANGGGGGAAGGCCCAAAAAAUGAGAAAAAACCCGGGGGGGGGGGGGUUUUUUCGUUUUUUCCUCCCCGGAAAAAAAAAAGGGGGGAACGAAAGCGGGNNNNCCACCNGGCUUAGAUACCCUGGCAGUCCACGCCGUAGAUGGAGGGGGGGGGUAUGGGGGGGGGGCCCCAUUCCACGGGCUUCCGCCGCCGUANCUAANNUUUUAANUACCCCGCCGGGGGAGAACGGCCCCNAAGGCUA
rnacentral:rRNA from 1 species